rnacentral:rRNA from 1 species
ACUAGUGAUUUCCGUAGGUGAACCUGCGGAAGGAUCAUUCGCACAAAGAUAUAUUCUAUUCCACCCGCCACGCACCAUACAGUGCUUUCUGUUUUAUCAUCUGGAAAUUUAAUUUCCAACUCGUCGAUGUUGCGAUCUCAUUGCAAUGUAUGCGAUGUUAUCUAUCUCUUGCGACGACGAAUGCCUUGGCUCGAGGAUCGUUGAAGGACGCAGCGAACUGUGCUAAACAUCUCGAAUUGCAGAUUUCCGAGAAAGAAAAGGAUUCUGAACGCAUUCUGCGAGUUGAACUUGUUUCAACUCACGUGAUUGACGGUGACCGAAAUAUGCAGUCGCUCGAACUCCGAAGUUCAAGUGGUGUUCACAUGUUGUCGCAAAGUUUUGCGCCGACGUGUUCGUGGAAUUCAGCGCGUCUCUCGUUUUCGAGUUUCAUUAUGAAUUCAUUUCAUGAUGUUCGAUUGCAGUGAUGUGUCUCAGUUUUUCAUUUUUUGAAAACAUUUUUUUCCGCACGCUCACGAUCAGUCACGGGAUUAACCGGUGAAUUUAAGCAUAUCAA